GUCAUUCUAUGUGUUUUUACGCGCGGUUGUGUGGUUUAUCGAGUCGACUAAAUGCAAUAGUCAUUGUUACCUGUCCGAUUUCACCUGUGCGAUUUUACCUGUGAACCCGGAUCGCCUGCCUGUUACCGGUCUACAGUGGGAUACCUUUGUGUUUGUUCUUGCGGAUUGGAUGCAGCUGGAUGCCGGCGAGCACGGUGCCAACCGGGUGACGCGGGUGAAUUCGCGGUUGAAGAACCACACGGAUUUUGACUGCAGUUUUAUUGGUUUCCGUUUCCCUAGUUUUGCAUGCACGGCUAUAUCGAUCGAUUUUUCGUAUGAGCGCCUUGUGCGGCCCGAAGCGCCAAGGUUGGGUGGAAUGUUUUUGCAGUCACCGCAGAUGAGAAUGAGCCAGCAGAUCAAUGACCUGCAGCGAGGACAGCAUAAGUAAAGAGCCCUGCUGUUCAAUGUGAGAUGCGUUCGUCGAUAAUGAACUGGAUAAAUCGCGACAUGCCACGUGCAGUAAAUAUACUGGAUGCAACACAAUUAUGCAGCUUUAUCCGCUACUGAAGCGUGCUGUUCUGACCGUGAAUGGACCGAUAAGGGAUGUUUUUGUCGAAUAAUUCAGCGCAGAUUGGUCCAGCGUCUGCGGACACACUAACUUUUGCCAAAGCGGAAUUCACCAAAGCCUAAGAAGGUGCGCGUGAUCUUUGCAGUAGAUGCAGUGUGGAUGCGGAGUGGACAGCAUGAUGUGGAUACGGAGUGACAGCUGAUGCUGAUUGCGAAGUGGGAUUGGAUUUGGUUAACGGGUUGGUCGAGAGCGCCCGUAGUAUGGAAACGGGGUGGUCAUUAGCGCCCAUGUUGAAGUGCGUAUAUGUUUUGGGAGAGAUAUCAGGUUGGCUGUCGGCGCCUGGUAUUUUGUGAAUGCGCUGCGGCAUAUCAUGUGUGCCGCGGAAGUUCUCUCAUCAGUUAUUGCUAUCGCUUUUACACCUAUGGAUGGUCUGAGUCUGUACCGCUACCUGUUGUGGUACUACCUGACGUUAUUUUUCGUGACCUUUCCUGAUGUUAACUGUGGUGCCAUCAAUGGACAUUUCCUGUCCUAAUCUUAUUUCAAAUUUCAACAUCGUAUUAUGUUCCUGACCUGACCACGUGCCACCACCUGUCAGCUGUAUUACGCCAGGAGUUUUACCCGGGGCCUCCAUGUAGCCAACGGUUCUCGUGGCUGUAAGUCAGCUGUCUUAAGUUUCGUCAGCAAUGGAUGUUCGGAUGGAUCCUGUGGACGUUCGUGCCGAGGACGUCACGGUCCAAAGAAGGAGCGUGUCACGAGUACGACUGGUUGAAGUACAUUUUGUAUGGACAGUUAUACUUUGAUGUGGUUUGCAACGGAAGGAAGUGGCCAGAAAGUAUCAGCCAAUUAGUAAAGUGUUAAGUGUACUUUGAUCUCUCAUAAAACAAUCAAUAAAAUGUUGUCUCAUGGUUUGUCUAUGAGUGUUUUUAAGUUGAAGGCGUGUUCUGUCAUCUUUCAUAUUUUGGAUCAGAAAUCGCUUCUGAGUGCUUGAGGGAGAAGAACUCCUUGUGAAUGAAUUAAUGUCAUCUUGCAUAGCUAGCAGCUCUGGAAUAUCUGGUCUUGGGAAGUGUUCUCUGGCAUAUCUUCUUGUCCUAGAUGUUGUUGCACUGUUAGUCUGAAUGAGUCUGUAUAAAGGUCACCGUUAGCAGAA